GGCGCUCCAAUAUGCUCCACACGUGCCUCCUCCCUAUCAGUCCCAAUGUGAGGCACGACCCACAUGUGGGCUCGGUGCAACCCAGCCCCACCAUUCCGCCGGCUCUUCCCCUCCUCCUCUGGGGUAACGUGAACUCCAGCUCCCCUCCCUUCCUCCCCCCACGACCUCAAAGCCGGAUAAGCCUCGACCCCCGACGGCAACACGGGGCGAGGGAGGCCGCGGCGAGAUCCUCUCCUGCUCGGGCUUGCCAACACCGAGGCGAGCUUCAGGUCUAGCCCUGCUCCCCGCCACCCCCCAGCUCCAGGGGCUUUGCCCGACGGGGCGCAAUCCCCACGCACCGGCUCGCUCCGUCCCGCCGCUGCUAUUCGGAGCUCCGCGGUUGCCGCCGGCUUUUCUUAUGCAGAUUCCCUUUCACACCUCCUAAACAAAGGCAAACGGGGGCAUCGCCUCUCCGUGUCAACACACACGCUCAUUAGCGGGAAAGGCGGCGGGGGAGCGGGUGGGAACGGCCCGAGAAGCCCCUCCGGGGGGGCGGUCACAUCGACGGGAGGCUGGAGGGGGCCGAGGAUCGCUCGAGGAAAUUUGGAGCGAGUUCUUCACAACCUCCAAGUAAAUAAGUUUCUGACGCUGCGGGCUUGACAGCCUCCACUUCGUUUAUUCCGAGACGCGUGGCUCAGCCCGGCUUUGUCCAGCCGACGGCGGCACCGCAGAGAGCGGCAGAGCCAGGGUGCGGGGGCAGCGGGAACCCGCGGAGGGAAAGCAGGGAGCGGCCAGCGCCGCGGAGAGCAGAGACGAGAACGGGGCCCUGAGACCGCGCAGGAUCUAGGAGGGGCCCGGGGGGGGGGGGGGGGACAAUUAAAGCUUCUCCAAUUACUGCCAUCCGCAGGGGAAGGGGGUGGUGGGGGGGAGGAAGUAUAUAGUAUACUAUAUAUAUAUAUAUAUAUAUAAUAAAAUCAACAGAUUAAAACAGCACUGAGAAGGGAAGGGGGAAGCAAACGAUGAAACACCAGAGAAAUCCGUGCCCCACGAAAUCCGGCCCAGAGCUGCGGACGGGGCAAUGGGAGGCAGCGGAGGGGCCGGGGCGGGGAGAGGGCUGGAGCUGCCCCCGAGGAGCGGAACGGGAGGCGGCGGGUCGGGGCUGCCGGCACCGGGGACACGCGCCAUCCCGCAGCCGCGCGGCUUCCCCUCCCCUGCUUUUGUGGGUCUGGGUUUUUGUUUGUUUCCUUGCUUGCUUGCUUGCUUGGUUUUUUUGUUUGGUUGGUUGGUUGGUUUUUUUUUUUUUUUUUUUUUUUUUUUGUCCUUUUUUAAUUUCUUUCUUUCUUUUUUUCCCCUUUCCCACCUGCCCCCCACCCUCUCUAAACGGCACCGAGCGAACCUGAUCGCGGAGCCCUCCGCCUCUCCGGGGCCUCACCUUGACGCCGGCUUUCGUUUUGUGCCUCUCCUUCCUCCGACAGCCCGGGCUGGAGCUCGGAGGGAAGGAAAUAAUCAAUUCGUUAAAAAUCAGAAAAGAGAGGGGUAAAAAAAAAAAAAAAGAAAGAAAGAAAAUCCCCCGAUCCCUCAUUUGGAUCGCGGUUUGGCGGGGGAGGAGGAUUUGUUUGUUUGUUUGUUUUCUCUCCCCACCCCACCCCCUUUCCACCUUUCAACAAAACAGCCUCGGGCCGGGCGGGGGGGCCCCGCACCCCGGCACCGAGAUGGGAAAAGCGGGGGACCUGAUGGGAGGGAGGGGGCUGCGCCGUUGCGCGGGGCUGCGCGGCUCUUUGUGCGCGGGGUCGGGCGGUGGGAGCGCACCUCUUCGCACUCGCACCUCUGCCACCCGCAGCACGCGGAAAUUUCCACGUUCCAACCGCCUUCCCCCCCUUUAAACUUAGUAUUAAUUUAGGACGGAUCCUUUUAAACGUCUGCUUAAUGCAUUCAGACGCUGCUGGAGGUUUAUCUUUUUUUUUCUUUUUUUUUCUUUUUUCUUUUUUUUUUUCUUUUUUUUUUUCUUUUUUUCUUUUUUUUUUUUUUUUUGUACCGUGGGUUAUAUUUACACCCAAAACAAAAUAAUUACACUUUUGUUGGAGAGAGAAAGCUGGUGAUUAGACCGGGGCUCUUUGCAGCAAACCCUUUCUCAGUGGUACACCAGGACAAUUUUUCACGGCUGGGUGAAAUCAGACGCGGGAGACUCACCAGUCCUCCUUCCCCUGCCCGACGAUGCCCUUUUCCUGCGGAUUUGAGGUUUCUUUUUUGGCCGCUACUGAGAUUCUUUCAGCCCGGCCGCUGUGGUCCUUCCUCCCCGAUGCGGAGAACGAGCGAGGAUAUAGAGGGGCGGCCGCGGGGAAGGGAGAAACGGGAGGACCACCCCAGCUCCGAAGCCCGGUGUCCCGGUGUCCCUCGCCGCCGCCGGUUGUCGCAGCUCCGCCGCACCUGAAACUGAAGAGCACAAACAACGGAGAAGUGCGGCGACCCCCGGCUCAGGCAUCCCCCUCCUCCUCCUCGCCCCCCUUUCCCCUCUCGUUCAGUGUCAGCCCCUCUCCUCCCGACGGAGCGGCCCGGAGGGGACACUGCUGCGCGACAAAGGCCGGCGGGGGGGCACGGCAUUGCGCGAAGCCGCGUAACUUUUCGUCUCCUCUGUCCCCACCCCCGGGUUCCUCCCCCCGCUCCUCACCCUCACCCUCUUCGUGCUUUCACCGCCCACCCCGGGCACAGUGCAGGCUGAAAGGGGAACAGCUGCGGGAGUGGUGCAAACAGUGACAGAACAGGUGACGGCCGCCCCGUCCCCAUUCGGGACCCCCGGAACGAACAUCCCCAUCAAAGAAAGAAUUCAAAAAAGAGAGAGAGAGAGAAAGGCUGAGCAGAAACCGCCCCCCCCCCCCCCCCCCCCCCCGCCCCGGCACCCCAGGCCAGGUGCGUACUCACUUGGCGGCGCAGGUACAAGCCACCCUCAACAAUAGAGGCGCGUUGUUUUUUUCCCUCUGUGCCAAGCACAAGGCUGGAGCCAAUUUAGAUAUGCUAUAAAUUAAGAGGUUACCAUGGCCACCGCGCUGCCAUUGGCCGCCUCCCGCCCGACGCGGGCCCCCACGUCACCAAAUCUGAAUAAGGAUGCGCGAAUUACUAAGGCGGGGGACAAAGCUGGCGAUGGGGACAGCAUGAGAGUGGCGGCGCGGCGGC
ensembl:lncRNA